UACGUAGGGACCAAGCGUUGUUCGGAUUUACUGGGCGUAAAGGGCGCGUAGGCGGCGUGGUAAGUCACUUGUGAAAUCUCUGAGCUUAACUCAGAACGGCCAAGUGAUACUGCUGUGCUAGAGUGCAGAAGGGGCAAUCGGAAUUCUUGGUGUAGCGGUGAAAUGCGUAGAUAUCAAGAGGAACACCUGAGGUGAAGACGGGUUGCUGGGCUGACACUGACGCUGAGGCGCUAAAGCCAGGGGAGCAAACGGG
rnacentral:rRNA from 1 species